UACAGAGGUCUCAAGCGUUGUUCGGAUUCAUUGGGCGUAAAGGGCGCGUAGGCGGCAAGGCAAGUCGGGUGUGAAAGCUUGGGGCUUAACCCCGAAAGGGCACUCGAAACUGCCCUGCUAGAGGGCCGGAGAGGAGAUCGGAAUUCACGGUGUAGCAGUGAAAUGCGUAGAGCUCGUGAGGAAGACCGGUGGCGAAGGCGGAUCUCUGGACGGCCCCUGACGCUGAGGCGCGAAGGCUAGGGGAGCGAACGGG
rnacentral:rRNA from 1 species